AGCCUGUUAUUUGGCCAAGAGUAAUAUAGCCCUCUACAACAUAUAGAAAGAAGACCCCAGUCAAGAGGGCGUGAAACCAUUAAGAGGUAAAUGGGGGGGAUCCGCACACCCGUGGAUGGUGUGAGGCCGGUAGCGGCCCCCAGCAUGCCGGGACUGGGUCUUCUUGGAGUCUGGUUGCUUGGGAAUGCAGUCCAAAGCUGGUGGUAAACUCCAUCUAAGGCUAAAUACUGGCACGAGACCGACAGUCAACAAGUACCAUAAGG
rnacentral:ncRNA from 1 species